rnacentral:lncRNA from 1 species
GAAGAGUUGAGACUGAGACUGAGACUGGACCAGUUCAGAAAUCAGCCUGGCAAUAACAGUCAAAACCAGGAUUUCAUGGGGCAUUCUAAGCAAAUGCUUCCUGGAGGUUGGGAGUACUGUGUCCUUAGUCACAAAGAGACACAGACAGGGGGACUGUCAGCUGGUGUCGGAGGAGCCAAGCAAGUCAUCAGCCGCUGGAACACCUGAGGGUAACUUACGUUCCUGGUUCCUCAGCAGCCCCGUCC